AAACUUGGGAAAAAAUAAAUAAAGAAAACCCUACAAACUUUUGAGUCUGAAUUAAUUUAAUGAAUCUCCAUAACUCUCCUUUGCAGGCAUGGUCUCAGUUACCAGCAUGCUAGGAGAUGACCUGGACCAACAUCCAGGCAGGAAAGACGCAAGCUGAGCACUCAGCAGUUUAGGACUCCAAAGCUGAGUUGCCCACAGAAAGGUUGCAGGCUCAUCAAUGAGAUUUACAGCCUGCUAACUUGUCCAUAAUAAGAACUCCAGCAGCAAGAAUUACAAAGCCCAUGAAGGACUACUCCUGCCUUUGGAAAAAAGCACCCUCACCCUAAAAAGAAGCCAGUGGCAACUCAGAACAUGUAUUGACAAUAGCUGCAUAGCAUUGUCAAGUAAAAUAACCACAAAAGGCAAGUGAUUUUUGCUUACUUGACUCUUUCAAUAUACUGUACAAUUAAGCUGGCUGUUGUAUU
rnacentral:lncRNA from 1 species